rnacentral:rRNA from 1 species
UACGUAGGGGGCAAGCGUUGUCCGGAUUUAUUGGGCGUAAAGGGCGUGUAGGCGGUCAGGUAGGUCGGUUGUGAAAACUCGAGGCUUAACCUCGAGCUGUCGGCGGAAACCAUCUGGCUAGAGUCCGGAAGAGGAGAAUGGAAUUCCCGGUGUAGCGGUGAAAUGCGCAGAUAUCGGGAAGAACACCCGUGGCGAAGGCGGUUCUCUGGGACGGUACUGACGCUGAGACGCGAAAGCGUGGGGAGCGAACAGG